rnacentral:RNase_P_RNA from 1 species
CAAGUAAGACAGACGUUCGCAGCUGCAGGCGCCGAAAGGCGGCAGGUGAGGAAAGUCCGGGCUUCACAGGGCAGGAUGCCGGAUAACGUCCGGUGGAGGCGACUCCAAGGCAAGUGCAACAGAAAUAAACCGCCCCUCAUAUUUUUGCGGGGUAAGGGUGGAAAGGCAGUGUAAGGGACUACCGCCUGGGCGGUAACGCACAGGGCAGAUGUAAACCCCAUCCGAAGCAAGACCGAGACAAAACAAUGUGGCGGCCCGUCACGUUUUAGGUAGGUUGCUUAAGCCUUCCGGCAACGGUAGGCGUAGACAGAUGAACGUCCAACGACAUAACCCGGCUUAUCGUCUUGCUUGCACC